rnacentral:rRNA from 1 species
AGAGUUUGAUCCUGGCUCAGAUUGAACGCUGGCGGCAUGCUUUACACAUGCAAGUCGAACGGCAGCACGGGAGCAAUCCUGGUGGCGAGUGGCGAACGGGUGAGUAAUACAUCGGAACGUGCCCAGUAAUGGGGGAUAACCCGGCGAAAGCCGGACUAAUACCGCAUACGACCUACGGGUGAAAGCGGGGGAUCGCAAGGCCUCGCGUUAUUGGAGCGGCCGAUGGCAGAUUAGCUAGUUGGUGGGGUAAAGGCCUACCAAGGCGACGAUCUGUAGCUGGUCUGAGAGGACGACCAGCCACACUGGGACUGAGACACGGCCCAGACUCCUACGGGAGGCAGCAGUGGGGAAUUUUGGACAAUGGGCGCAAGCCUGAUCCAGCCAUGCCGCGUGCGGGAAGAAGGCCUUCGGGUUGUAAACCGCUUUUGUCAGGGAAGAAACGCUCUGGGUUAAUACCUCGGAGUAAUGACGGUACCUGAAGAAUAAGCACCGGCUAACUACGUGCCAGCAGCCGCGGUAAUACGUAGGGUGCAAGCGUUAAUCGGAAUUACUGGGCGUAAAGCGUGCGCAGGCGGCUUUGCAAGACAGAUGUGAAAUCCCCGGGCUCAACCUGGGAACUGCAUUUGUGACUGCAUGGCUUGAGUGCGGCAGAGGGGGAUGGAAUUCCGCGUAGCAGUGAAAUGCGUAGAUAUUGGGAGGAACACCAGUGGCGAAGGCGGCUACCUGGACCGGAACUGACGCUGAGGCGCGAAAGCGUGGGUAGCAAACAGGAUUAGAUACCCUAGUAGUCC